rnacentral:rRNA from 1 species
GUCGGGUGACGAGGGAGACGAGGGUUGGUGCAUGGUUGUCGUCAGCUCGUGUCGUGAGAUGUUGGGUUAAGUCCCGCAACGAGCGCAACCCUCGCCUUUAGUUGCCAGCAUUCAGUUGGGCACUCUAGAGGGACUGCCGGUGUCAAACCGGAGGAAGGUGGGAUGACGUCAAGUCCUCAUGGCCUUUAUGUCUAGGGCUACACACGUACUACAAUGGCCGGUACAAAGGGCAGCCACUCAGCGAUGAGGCGCUAAUCCCAUAAAGCCGGUCUCAGUCCGGAUCGCAGUCUGCAACUCGACUGCGUGAAGUUGGAAUCGCUAGUAAUCGUAGAUCAGCAUGCUACGGUGAAUACGUUCCCGGGCCUU